GCAGACAUGCGUGCCCUGGAAAGAAGAAAGUAGAAGGAUCAACUAAAAGAGCUCUCCCACUAAAUGGCUGUGGGCUCCUCUAAGAAACUGAAACAUGGAAGAAGGAAGGACCAGCCAGCCAGAACAGCAGUGGGUAUCAAGGAAUGAUAUAAAAGCAAGCUCAAGACAGUCAAGAUUCAAGGAGCUAUAUACCUUGCUUCCUUUCCAGAGCUGAAAUUUGAGUCAAGAGUCCAUUUCUUCCAUCUGGCCAGAUGAUCUCCAGGAUACUCUCAUGAAAUCACCGGAAAACUCUUUCUUAUUCCCUAAUGCUCUUGGGAGAUGAAGAUUUUUUGGCAAGAUAGAAAGAAAAUCUGAGGUCAGCAAAGUCAGCAGACAUAGGAGACAGCCAUAAAUCUGGGUGACAUUUAAUUCACAACCCAAGGAGGCAAAAGAUAUUACCCUAAUUUUACAGGUAAGGAAAUCAAGGCUUGGACAAGUCUGUUGUCCAAAACACACAGC
rnacentral:lncRNA from 10 species